UAUACCUCCUGAGGAAGCCGAGUGCUUGUGGCUUGCCAGUCGAACCUGCCCUCCCACCAGCGCUCUCUGUAUUUCUUCUUGGGACUUGGGGUCUCAUCAACAAAACCAAGAUGUCAGAGUAAG